rnacentral:rRNA from 1 species
AUUGAACGCUGGCGGCAGGCCUAACACAUGCAAGUCGAGCGGAGCGGCGGACGGGUGAGUAAUACCUAGGAAUCUGCCUGGUAGUUGUGGAUAAAGUUCGGAAACGGACGCUAAUACCGCAUCCUAUCACAUGAGCCUAGGUCGGAUUAGCUAGUUGGUGAGGUAAUGGCUAACCAAGUCUACGAUCCGUAACUGGUCUGAGAGGAUGAUCAGUCACACUGGAACUGAGAAACGGGCCAGAAGCCGACGGGAGGCAGAAGUGGGGAAUAUUGGACAAUGGGCGAAAGCCGGAUCCAGCCACGCCGCGUGUGUGAAGAAGGUCUUCGGAUUGUAAAGCACUUGAAGUUGGGAGGCGUUACCGACAGAAUAAGCACCGGCUAACUCUGUGCCAGCAGCCGCGGUAAUUC